GUCAGUGCUACACCCGCCUAGGGGUGGAGCCAGCAUCCAAUGUAAUGGCAGAAAGAAGGUGCAUCUUUCUCUCUCUUGGCAGUUUCCCCUUUGCUGUUUGCAGCCACCAUGAACUGUGGCCCCGCCAUGCCACCCUGCCUUGGAGCCAAUUGAGUAUGGACUGAAACCUCCACAAACUGACCAAUUGAAUCUGUCCUUGGAUAUAGUAAGAACAACAAAUGAUAGAAGAUGUUUGAUCUUGACUGUCGAUACUAGAGGGAUUCAGAGGAAAUAAAGAACACGUUGGCGAUAAA